rnacentral:rRNA from 1 species
GACGAACGCUGGCGGCGUGCCUAAUACAUGCAAGUAGAACGCUGAAACUUGGUGCUUGCACCGAGCGGAUGAGUUGCGAACGGGUGAGUAACGCGUAGGUAACCUGCCUGGUAGCGGGGGAUAACUAUUGGAAACGAUAGCUAAUACCGCAUAAGAGUAGAUGUUGCAUGACAUUUGCUUAAAAGGUGCAAUUGCACCACUACCAGAUGGACCUGCGUUGUAUUAGCUAGUUGGUGGGGUAACGGCUCACCAAGGCGACGAUACAUAGCCGGCCUGAGAGGGUGAUCGGCCACACUGGGACUGCGACACGGCCCAGACUCCUACGGGAGGCAGCAGUAGGGAAUCUUCGGCAAUGGACGGAAGUCUGACCGAGCAACGCCGCGUGAGUGAAGAAGGUUUUCGGAUCGUAAAGCUCUGUUGUAAGAGAAGAACGAGUGUGAGAGUGGAAAGUUCACACUGUGACGGUAUCUUACCAGAAAGGGACGGCUAACUACGUG